rnacentral:rRNA from 1 species
GACGAACCGUACAAACGUUAUUCGGAAUCACUGGGCUUAAAGGGUGCGUAGGCGGCCUGGCAAGUUGGGUGUGAAAUCCCUCGGCUCAACCGAGGAAUUGCGCUCAAAACUGCCAGGCUUGAGAAAGGCAGAGGUGAGCGGAACUCAGGGUGGAGCGGUGAAAUGCGUUGAUAUCCUGGGGAACACCAGUAGCGAAAGCGGCUCACUGGGCCUUUUCUGACGCUCAGGCACGAAAGCUAGGGGAGCGAACGGGAUUAGAUACCCCAGUA